rnacentral:rRNA from 1 species
AUUGAACGCUGGCGGCAGGCCUAACACAUGCAAGUCGAGCGAGCGGCGGACGGGUGAGUAAUGUCUGGGAAUCUGCCUGAUGGAGGGGGAUAACUACUGGAAACGGUUGCUAAUACCGCAUACCAUCAGAUGUGCCCAGAUGGGAUUAGCUAGUAGGUGGGGUAAAGGCUCACCUAGGCGACGAUCCCUAGCUGGUCUGAGAGGAUGACCAGCCACACUGGAACUGAGACACGGUCCAGACUCCUACGGGAGGCAGCAGUGGGGAAUAUUGGACAAUGGGCGCAAGCCUGAUGCAGCCAUGCCGCGUGUGUGAAGAAGGCCUUCGGGUUGUAAAGCACUUUCAGCGGGGAGGCGUUACUCGCAGAAGAAGCACCGGCUAACUCCGUGCCAGCAGCCGCGGUAAUUC